GUGGGGAAUAUUGGACAAUGGGCGAAAGUCUGAUCCAGCCAUGCCGCGUGUGUGAAGAAGGUCUUCGGAUUGUAAAGCACUUUAAGUUGGGAGGAAGGGCAGUAAGUUAAUACCUUGCUGUUUUGACGUUACCGACAGAAUAAGCACCGGCUAACUUCGUGCCAGCAGCCGCGGUAAUACGAAGGGUGCAAGCGUUAAUCGGAAUUACUGGGCGUAAAGCGCGCGUAGGUGGUUUUGUAAGUUGGAGGUGAAAUCCCCGGGCUCAACCUGGGAACUGCCUCCAAAACUGCAUGACUAGAGUACGGUAGAGGGUAGUGGAAUUUCCUGUGUAGCGGUGAAAUGCGUAGAUAUAGGAAGGAACACCAGUGGCGAAGGCGACUACCUGGACUGAUACUGACACUGAGGUGCGAAAGCGUGGGGAGCAAACAGGAUUAGAUACCCCGGUAGUCC
rnacentral:rRNA from 1 species